rnacentral:rRNA from 1 species
GACGAACGCUGGCGGCGUGCUUAACACAUGCAAGUCGAACGGAAAGGCCCUGCUUUUGUGGGGUGCUCGAGUGGCGAACGGGUGAGUAACACGUGAGUAACCUGCCCUUGACUUUGGGAUAACUUCAGGAAACUGGGGCUAAUACCGGAUAGGAGCUCCUGCUGCAUGGUGGGGGUUGGAAAGUUUCGGCGGUUGGGGAUGGACUCGCGGGUUAUCAGCUUGUUGGUGGGGUAGUGGCUUACCAAGGCUUUGACGGGUAGCCGGCCUGAGAGGGUGACCGGCCACAUUGGGACUGAGAUACGGCCCAGACUCCUAAGGGAGGCAGCAGUGGGGAAUAUUGCACAAUGGGCGGAAGCCUGAUGCAGCAACGCCGCGUGCGGGAUGACGGCCUUCGGGUUGUAAACCGCUUUCGCCUGUGACGAAGCGUGAGUGACGGUAAUGGGUAAAGAAGCACCGGCUAACUACGUG